rnacentral:lncRNA from 1 species
CCUGACCUCAGGUAAUCCACCUGCCUCAGCCUCCCAAAGUGCUGGGAUUACAGGCGUGAGCCACCGUGCCAGGCCUAGAAGACAAUUCUAAAGCUUUCCUGGAUUGUGGACUCCAUUGAAAUCUGAUGAAAAUCUUCUUCCCAGAAAUGUGAGAUUAUACACAUUUUGGAUCCAUUUUCAGAGUAUUUAUGAACCCCGACCUAGGACUCUCCCAUGUAUAAGGAACAUGAAUGCUUUCCACAUCAUUGCAUACAUGGCCAUCCCAGCCUCACCAGAAUACCUCUAACAGUAGAGAAGUGUGUAAAUCAUAGAGGCAGCCUGGAAGGAAGCAGCAGUUUGAAUACAUGUAAACAAUGCUCCACAGAAUCUCUGAUGUUCCUUAGAGAUGCUCCACAGAGCACCCCAAUUGUUCAUCCAAUUUCAUUGGCCAAAUUGCUUAAUUUCUAGGUCUGUUUUUGCAUAUAAAAAGUGGAUCUCAUAAUAUCAAAGUGGCAGGAUUGAAAGAUUAAAUGUAGUACAUAUGAAAUUCCCAAAAGAGCCUCUGGUAGGGUAAGAUGUUCCCUGUAUGGAUGUUGUUGUUGUUGUUGCUGCUGCUGCCACUGCCAUGACUACUGCUGGUGCCACAUUAUUGUUAUUUAAAGUAAUUAAUUUAAUUUUACUUUCUCGCUGUGGUAGGUAUUAAAUUAUUAUUGUCUAAAGCUUCUUUCAACUUGGAUACAUUUGAAAAUAUGGUAGAUGAGAGCUUUUCAUAAUAUGUAUCAUUUAAUGUUAUUAUUGAUGUUGUGUUAGAAUGUAAUUGUCACCGGAAACUGUGGCUAAAUGUCUUAAUCAGCAUCUUAUCUUUCAGUUGUUUAUUGCUAACUGUGAGGAAACUUUUGUCUGUUCUGUCAUUAUUCACAGUGAAAACAGUCUGAAAACAGAAUAGGCAUUUUUAAUCAGUAUUGGAACCCCUGGAGAUGCUUCUAUUGAUCUCCUUAUAUUUACAUGUUCUAUAUCAUUAUAAUGCCUUUGUGUAGUUUCUAUUUGAAAUAAAAUAGUUUUGAACUACAUGUUCAGAACUGCAAUUUCUGUUUAACUGACAUAUAGAUUGACAAAAUGAUUAUGUAACAAAAGCAUAAAGAGGCAGUUCUAUCUUUAGAAAUGCAUAAUAAGAAAAAAUCUGGCCAGGUAACCCAUAUGAGGUCUUUAAUAAAAAGAGAAUAUAUUGACUUCUUGUUAAAUUGACAGCAUAAGCACAGGCCUUUAACUACCUUCCUUCAGGCCUCAUGGAAAUGAUAACUAGAAUACAAAAUAGGGCAAAAAUCUUCAAAAGCACUAGCUGUUACAGGUGAAUCCUAAAAUCUUUUUAAUAUAGGAGAGAUAGGACCACAUGGAUGGAAAGCAGGAAGGGCCAACCUGUUACUCCCACUGCUAAACAACAGUAACGAUUGUGGGAAUAACUGACUGGCAGGAACCCUGGCAGGAGGACACUCUUAAUAUGUUCUGAUUUGAAGGAGUAAUGAAUAAAGUCAAAGACAGGCUGGGGGUAGGGGGCAGACGAUCUCUUUUCACUCUUUUUUAUCUUAGUGAGUCAGUGGCAUUUGUUGAAAUCCUCAGGUUCACACAGAUUAUUUGUCAAGCAGAAGGACAACUGGGGCUUGAUCCUUUAGAAAGUGGAGACACACUUUAGAUCUGACAGACACUGGGGCAUACAGGAAGCUUUAAAUGUAAGAGGAGUUGGCACGACAGCUUCAGCACCAAAAGCCACAUCACUCUGCGCAGCCACCUCUUGUUCUAAGUCACUUUUCACCCCACUCAGACUGCUGAGUCAUCCUUAAACUCACAAUGCAAAGGUACAUUUCACCCAGAGGUUUGAGAGGGUAAUUCCAACAACAAUUUGGUCAAAUUUUAGGGCAAUCAAAGGGUCUACACAUUCUUUAAAAGGUCAAAAACCAGUUCUGAGUAGAGAGCUCUCUAAAUUCAAGCUUUUAUGAAUAAAAAUGUAUAACAUAUAUAAUGUGUAUAUAUACACACACAUCUCAUUCAGGCUAUUCUAGCUCUUAUAAACAAAUGCAUACAUAUACAUAUAAAUAUAUGAUUGUGAAAAGGUCCACAAAUAAAGCCAGGAAAUACAGCUCUCAAGAUUCAUAGUGGACUUCAGGAUCAAGAUAGAAGAGGGAUCUCAUGCUAAAACCUUCCCAUUCUGCUCUUACACAUAGAAAUGACAUUUUAAAUUGUGUGUGUGUGUGUGUGUCUGUGUGUGUGUGUGUGUGUGUGUGUGUGUGUGUGUGUGUUUAGAUAAAAAACAAGAAAGGAAUAUCACCCUGCAUCAGAAACAAUAUGAAACUAUCAUGAUAAGUAGGAUUUUAAGCUUCAGAGAUUUCACAGAAUUGAGAUCAGCAAUUGGAGCUAAGGUUUCUACACCCAAGAGGCCCUAAAUGAUGCCUAAGCAAAGGAAGCAAGGAGCGGGAAUCCUUCUGUAGAGAAUAUACUUUAUUUUCUUAAAUUGCUCAUGUAUUAGGCAUUUUAAAAAAUCCCUCCAGUUUAUGAGCCAUCUGGGCCUGCCACUAAUUAAAGUUGAAAGUAAACAUUUCAUCCACUACAGGUGGGGAAUAUAAAUUGGCAUGACAUCCUUGGGAAUCCGUUUUGCAGUAUAUAUCAAGAGCUUUUUAAAUAUCCAUUUGGAAGGUUUUUUUGAAAGUUAAAAUGUUUUUAAUGGUCAUAUAUUCUCACUCAAUAAUCCCACCUGUUACUAUUUUUUUUGCAAAAAAGAUGUGUAUAAGUAUAUACAUGUAUUUUUAUUACUGCAUUUCUUAUACAGAUUGAACAUCCCAAAUCUGAAAUCCCAAAUUUGAAAUGCCCCAAAAUCCAAAACUUUUGAGUGCAGAUAUGGCCCCAGAAGUGGAAAAUUUCACACCUGACCUCAUGUGAUGGGUGGUAGUCAAAACACAGGAGCAUAACACAGUUUAUUCAGCGUCCCCAAGAGAAAAAAAACUAACAAAACAAAACAAAACACCCUCCCAGCCCACUUCAGCUUUGAUAUAUUUUUUUCUGAGCAAGCAUGAUGGUGAUGCCAAACAACCACAGAUUGUCCACAUGGGUGACCAGAAUAGUGACACCUUUACUUUCUGAUGGUUCAAUGAUCACAAGUUUGGUUCACGCACAGAAUUGUGACCAGAAUAGUGACACCUUUACUUUCUGAUGGUUCAAUGAUCACAAAUUUGGUUCACGCACAGAAUUGUUACAAAUAUUCUAUAAAAGCUGUGUAAAAGGUGCUUAUGAAACAAAUGAAUUGUAUGUUGUAGUCUUGGGUCCCAUUCCUAAGGUACCUCAUUAUGUAUAUGCAAGUAUUCCAAAAUCCAAAAUACUUCUGGUCCAAGCAUCUCAGAUAAGGGUACUCAACCUGUAAUAUCAAAAAUAUGGAUGUUACCAUUAUUCUAACGGAAGUAACUCAGGAAUGGAAAGCCAAACAUCAUUAUCUUUUCACUUAUAAGUGGGAGCUAAGAUAUGAGGACGCAAAGACUAAGAAUGACACAAUGGACUCUGGGGACUUAGUAGGAAGGCUGGGAGGGGGUUAAGGGAUAAAAGACUACACAUUGGGUGCAGUGUACACUGCUCAAGUGAUGGCUGCACCAAAACCUCAGAAAUCACACCUAAAGAACUUAUCCAUGUAACCAAACACCACCUGUUCCCCCAAAACUAUUGAAAUAACAAUAAAUAAAUAAAUGAAAUGAAAUACAUAACAUUUUGAAAAUAUUUCUAUUAACAGUAAAAAAAGUCCUAAUUUCUCUCAGUAAAGAAAGAUUAUGAUUUUGUAUUUUAUUAACAACCAUGUAAUUUAGUAGGUCUCAUUACUCUGAAAAAUCUUUGGCAUAUUAUUUUAGGCAACAAAAGAAAUGGAUGUUCAACUUUUACAGGUUGAUUCAAUAACUAUGUUAUUUUUACUCAACCAAUUGAAAAAUAAGACUGUCAAGCAGUGACCAUCUGAUUGCAUGUAUUUGUCUGUGCAAGUCUCCUGCAUCACUUCAGAUGUUCCUAUCUGAAAUCAGCAAUAUAUUACCUUUUAAGAAGAAUAACUAUUUGUUGAGUGUCUACAAUGGGCCAGACCCUAGGAUAACAACACAAACAAGGCCCUUGCUAUCAAGCUGCUUAGGUAAAUUGUAGUGGGCAGAGAUGGACAAGCAAGUUCACAAAUAAAUAGAAAACGUAAUUGUAGACAGUGAUGAGUGUUAUGCACAUAAUAAAACCAGAUUAUGUAUUAGGAAAGAUGAGUAAGUGGAGAUGCUACAUUAGAUUAAUUGACAAAUAAGUCUUCUUUGAAGAGGUAACAUUGCAUCCCAGACUCAGCCAGGAACAAAAACUAUGGGAAGGACCUUUCAGGCCCAGUACAAAUGCUGUGAGAUAGGAACAAACUUGACAUACUUGAGGGACAGGAAAAAAAAAAAAAAAAAAGCCAGUGUAUCUAAUACGUAUGAGCAAGCAGGAGAACAGCAUGCGAUAAGGGUGGAUAUGUAGCAAGAAGCCAGAUAAUACAAGGCUUUGAACACCAUACUAAGGAGUUUGGAUUUUAUUUUAAGUGUCGUAGGAAGGCACAAGGAGUAACAUGAUAUGGUCUACAUUUUAAAAGAUCCUUUGGGUGUUUGUUUAAAACUGGGCUCUAAGAGUAGCAAGAGUGAAGAAAGCAGGAAGACUAGGUGGCUAUUGCAGUGAUUGAGGUGGGAGAUGGUGGUAACUUGGGCUCAGUUUGAAGUAACAGCUAACAAAUAUUUAUUUUUUAAAAAGGAUUAGUAGUGUGUCAGCAUGUAUAACUUUUUGGAACGCCUGAAAUUCGGUGUUAAUUUUUAAACUUUCCUAUUCAUGUGCAUAUUGUUUCAAUGAGUAAAAAAAAGUCCGGUAGCACAGACAGAUCUGCUGUCAUCUUGGAUCUUAGACUACCCCAUGUUUUUCUAUUGUGCCUUCUCUGCACUAAUCAACUAUUGGAUAUUUGCUUUUUUCAUCAAACAAAUUCCUUAAAAAGCGCUGAAAUUCUUUAAUACCACCAGAUACAUAGCAGCAAUCUACUAAUCUGUAUUGGUACACAGGAAGCAAACAUAGACAGUUCUUCAGUCAUAAAAAUCAGGAAGCCAUGAUGUUCCUAGUGUUUAACAUACAAAAACAAAUAUCUAGUGUGAAUCAAUCCCAAAGCUCCCACAUAUUGUGAGUUUUCACAGAAGAUCAUUUCCAAGAAACUAUUUCAGGUUUCUGUGAUACUUUAAUCACAUACCGAUAGCAUUAAGAUAUGAAGGCACAGCUAGACAAGCAAGACUUAAUUCUCACUACAGGCAGGAAUAUAGUAGUUGUCAAGGGGAUUGCAGGAUGUGUACUAUCUAGUACUUAAUCAAGUAAAAUCUAUAUACCUUACUACUAACAUGGUGAACAGUCUAUCACAUUAAAUGGUUUCAAGCACAAAGGCAGAAAAAAUGCAAGGACUGCUUCUAAGAUUGUAGAAGGCAUGAGUGGUAAAAUAUAGUCAAUUAUCACUUUUUCAAAAGAUGAAACUCUGAUUCCUUUCACAAUUAGAACUGACUAUAAUGAUAGAAUGCCUAAAGUAUAGUGUGUGUUUCAGUCCUAUAACUGGACAAACAAAAUGUAAAUGAUGCCAGAAAGAAACAUCCUCCCGCAAGGCCUGAAAAUCUCCUCUUCCAAACUGAAUGCCUUAUUUUGGGUUAGUGGAAUAGGUAUUUUCCAGAGUUCACAUGAGGACAAAGUAUUAACAGCUCAUCUCAGAAAAGGCAGCAGUACUAAAAUGUGUGCAGUAACAGUCUUCAUAAUUAUUUAUCAUGAUAAAAUAGUUCAAUUCAGAUCCAGAAGUUCAGUUCCUGCCUUCAACAACAGAGUAUUAAUAUUACUGUUGCAGGUAAUAUUUUUAAAAAUAACAUUGACAUAGAAGGUUUUAAAUUUUUAUCAGUUUUGCAGUUCUAAAGUUCUGUUUUAUAUUAAUAUGUCCUCACAGCAACCCUGUGAGAGAGACAUUAUUCUUUUUAAUUUAAACUAUAUGGAAAGAUCAAAGCUCAUAGAACUUAAUGAUUUACUUAAGUCACAAGUUUGGAAAGGACAAUGUCAGAAUCAUAAUUCAGGUCUUCUAAUUCUCUGUCCAGGGUUCCUAAUAAAUCCUGUGAGUCUCAUAGAAAUAUAGUUAAGACAUGAUGUCACAAUUGAACUGGUAAUUAUUUUUUUCUCUUUUAAAGUAUAUGAAAUAGCAUGGUGUGUUAUAAUUGAUGGCACCUUAGAUUUGGUGAAAUAUGAUGACCUCUCUGAGUAUUCGCUUCCUGUCUCUGAAGUCAGGGUACAGUCUUCAUAUGAUUUUCUCAAGGAUUAAGUGACCUACUAUGAAAGUGUUUUGCUCUGUAACUAUAGGUUUAUGGGGGUUUUGUGUGUUUGGGUUUUGUUUUGUUUUGUGUUUUUAGACAAGGUUCAUGCUGUUGCCCAUGCUGGAGUGCAGUGGUGUGAUCACAGCUCACUGCAGCCUCAAUCUCCCUGGCUCAGGUGAUCCUCCCACCUCAGCCUCCUAAGUAGCUGGAACUGCAGGCACACACCACCACGCCUAGCUAAUUUUUUGGUAUUUUUUGUAGAGAUGGGAUUUUGCCAUGUUGUCCAGGCUGGAGUUUAUGUUUUAGAGUUCACUUUUUAUUUUAAUUCGAAUCAUUCAAUAAAAUAUACCUCAUCUUACCUAAUUUUCAUGACUUACAAAUAUUCAGGAUAAAGCAAUAGAUUGCAUUGCCUCAAGAAGCUUUAGUAGUUUUCAAUCUGCUAUAAGAUAUCUCCCUCAUUGAUAACAUUGAUUUUCUCAGGAGAUAGGAUUGGGAGAUUAUCUGUUUUUUUAUUGGAAACUUUCAUAUUGCUUUUUUUUUUUUUUAAGAAUAAGCAUUUGUUACUGCUGAACUUUAAAGCUUAUUUUUUUAAGUAAAAGAAUUUUUAAGCAUCAUGGAGAUCUCACAGUAAGAAACAAAAGCUCUCUUUGGGACUAUUUGCGUAACAAUACAUAAAAAGGUAAUAAUAAAUGUUCCUAGGUAAAGACCUUAAAACUGGGGAUGCACUCCUCCAUAAAGUGAGCUUAAACCUCCAGACAGAGUUAAUAGCUCUUUGCUCAAACCUGUAUUAUUGCUCUUUUCAUAUUGCCUUGUAAUUAUCUAUUUGUAUGUUUUUCUUCUCACUGAAUUUUGUCCUAAACUGCUUUGCAUCUUUAGUGACAAACACUGUGCUGACCUCAUAAUAAAUAAAUAAUAAAUCUUUGUUGAAUGAAAAAAAAUGAAGAUGUAAAGUCAACAACUGAAUCUUUAAUAUUUUUUUUCUGAAAAUGUGAGACCUUAUCCAACCAGCAUUAUUGAUAAAAAUUAUAAAGCAAUUAGUUCUUGGGACUACACAGUGCUAUUUGUGUUUCUCAUUUCUUUUAUAAUAACUGCAGAAUCUAAUGAAAGUUAAAGUCAAAAGUAGAAUAGGGAAAAUAUUCAGAGUGAGAAAACUUGCUUCUUAGACAAGUUAUUUUACAACCUUAAGUAAAUUAUUCAACCUCACUUUUGCCCCAUUUAUAAAAUGGUAAAAAUGAUGUAUUUGUCUCUAAGCAUUAUAGGAUAAAAAUAAAGUAACAUUUGUAAAAAA